AAACUUUCAACAACGGAUCUCUUGGUUCCGGCAUCGAUGAAGAACGCAGCGAAUUGCGAUAAGUAAUGUGAAUUGCAGAAUUCCGUGAAUCAUCGAAUCUUUGAACGCACAUUGCGCCCCCUGGAAUU
rnacentral:rRNA from 1 species